UUUGACGUUAGCGACAGAAGAAGCACCGGCUAACUCCGUGCCAGCAGCCGCGGUAAUACGGAGGGUGCGAGCGUUAAUCGGAAUUACUGGGCGUAAAGCGCAUGCAGGUGGUUUGUUAAGUCAGAUGUGAAAGCCCGGGGCUCAACCUCGGAAUUGCAUUUGAAACUGGCAGACUAGAGUACUGUAGAGGGGGGUAGAAUUUCAGGUGUAGCGGUGAAAUGCGUAGAGAUCUGAAGGAAUACCGGUGGCGAAGGCGGCCCCCUGGACAGAUACUGACACUCAGAUGCGAAAGCGUGGGGAGCAAACAGGAUUAGAUACCCUGGUAGUCCACGCCGUAAACGAUGUCUACUUGGAGGUUGUGGCCUUGAGCCGUGGCUUUCGGAGCUAACGCGUUAAGUAGACCGCCUGGGGAGUACGGUCGCAAGAUUAAAACUCAAAUGAAUUGACGGGGGCCCGCACAAGCGGUGGAGCAUGUGGUUUAAUUCGAUGCAACGCGAAGAACCUUACCUACUCUUGACAUCCAGAGAACUUUCCAGAGAUGGAUUGGUGCCUUCGGGAACU
rnacentral:rRNA from 1 species